rnacentral:rRNA from 1 species
UUCGCCCUUAGAGUUUGAUCCUGGCUCAGGACGAACGCUGGCGGCGUGCCUAACACAUGCAAGUCGAGCGAAUGAAAUUCCUUCGGGAACGGAUUUAGCGGCGGACGGGUGAGUAACACGUGGGCAACCUGCCUCAUAGAGGGGAAUAGCCUUCCGAAAGGGAGAUUAAUACCGCAUAAGAUUGUAGUACCGCAUGGUACAGCAAUUAAAGGGGCAAUCCGCUAUGAGAUGGGCCCGCGGCGCAUUAGCUAGUUGGUGAGGUAACGGCUCACCAAGGCGACGAUGCGUAGCCGACCUGAAAGGGUGAACGGUCACACUGGAACUGAGACACGGUCCAGACUCCUACGGGAGGCAGCAGUGGGGAAUAUUGCACAAUGGAGGAAACUCUGAUGCAGCGACGCCGCGUGAAUGAUGAAGGUCUUCGGAUCGUAAAAUUCUGUCCUAGGGGACGAUAAUGACGGUACCCUAGGAGGAAGCCCCGGCUAACUAUGUGCCAGCAGCCGCGGUAAUACAUAGGGGGCAAGCGUUGUCCGGGUUUAUUGGGCGUAAAGGGUACGCAGGCGGUCCUUUAAGUCAGAUGUGAAAUCUUACGGCUCAACCGUAAUUAGCAUUUGAAACUGGAGGACUUGAGUUAAGGAGAGGAAAGUGGAAUUCCUAGUGUAGCGGUGAAAUGCGUAGAUAUUAGGAGGAAUACCAGUGGCGAAGGCGACUUUCUGGACUUAUACUGACGCUGAGGUACGAAAGCGUGGGGAGCAAACAGGAUUAGAUACCCUGGUAGUCCACGCUGUAAACGAUGGAGUGCUAGGUUGUCGGGGGUCAAACCUCGGUGCCGGAGUUAACGCAUUAAGCACUCCGCCUGGGGAGUACGUACGCAAGUAUGAAACUCAAAGGAAUUGACGGGGACCCGCACAAGCAGCGGAGCAUGUGGUUUAAUUCGAAGCAACGCGAAGAACCUUACCAGGUCUUGACAUGCCAUUGACCGUCUUAGAGAUAAGAUUUUCCCUUCGGGGACAGUGGACACAGGUGGUGCAUGGUUGUCGUCAGCUCGUGUCGUGAGAUGUUGGGUUAAGUCCCGUAACGAGCGCAACCCCUAUUUUUAGUUGCUAGCAGGUUAAGCUGAGCACUCUAAAGAGACUGCCGAUGAUAAAUCGGAGGAAGGUGGGGAUGACGUCAAAUCAUCAUGCCCUUUAUGACCUGGGCUACACACGUGCUACAAUGGUCGGUACAACGAGCAGCUACCUAGCGAUAGGAUGCUAAUCUCUUAAAGCCGAUCCCAGUUCGGAUUGUAGGCUGCAAUUCGCCUACAUGAAGUCGGAGUUGCUAGUAAUCGCGGAUCAGAAUGCCGCGGUGAAUAAAGUCCCGGGUCUUGUACUCACCGCCCGUCA